rnacentral:lncRNA from 1 species
GGGAAGCUGACAAGCCCGCAGCCGGCAGCCAUGUGUUUCCAUUAGCGCCCCGAGCCGUCCGGGGCUUCUCUGGACUCUCAUUUUCCAGUUCACUCUUUUAUCUUGAUUUAAAGUCUCUGCUCCUGGCUUUGUCUCUGAGUAUAGAAUCACAGACCUAGAGGAAAGCUCAACUUGAGG